rnacentral:rRNA from 1 species
GAUGAACGCUGGCGGCGUGCCUAAUACAUGCAAGUCGAGCGAACAGACGAGGAGCUUGCUCCUCUGACGUUAGCGGCGGACGGGUGAGUAACACGUGGAUAACCUACCUAUAAGACUGGGAUAACUUCGGGAAACCGGAGCUAAUCCCGGAUAAUAUAUUGAACCGCAUGGUUCAAUAGUGAAAGCCGGUUUUGCUGUCACUUAUAGAUGGAUCCGCGCCGCAUUAGCUAGUUGGUAAGGUAACGGCUUACCAAGGCAACGAUGCGUAGCCGACCUGAGAGGGUGAUCGGCCACACUGGAACUGAGACACGGUCCAGACUCCUACGGGAGGCAGCAGUAGGGAAUCUUCCGCAAUGGGCGAAAGCUUGACGGAGCAACGCCGCGUGAGUGAUGAAGGUCUUCGGAUCGUAAAACUCUGUUAUUAGGGAAGAACAAAUGUGUAAGUAACUAUGCACGUCUUGACGGUACCUAAUCAGAAAGCCACGGCUAACUACGUG